GUGGAUGUUAAUGAAGGAGCCAACAAGAGGGGAAGUGGAGAACUCCUCAUAGUAAUGGGGGAGAUGCUCAUAUGAGGAAACACGAACUUUUGAGGAGAGGGAUUGAGAAUGUGUGUCAGAUUUUGGAAAGUGGCCCGUGGGGACCUUCAUUGGAGAAAGCUCUCUCUUUGUGUGAUGAUAAACCUGAGGCAGACCUGGUUAUUGGAGUGUUGAGGAGGCUGAAGGAUAUCAAUCUAGCAAUUAAUUACUUUAGAUGGGUGGAGAGGGCAACAAACCAAGUGAAUCUGCCAGAAACAUACCAUUCGCUUCUGAUAUUGAUGGCAAGGUGUAGGAAAUUUGAUAGAAUUGGGCAUGUUUUGGAGGAAAUGAGUCUUGCUGGAUUUGGACUUUCUUUCGAGACAAGCAUGGAGUUAGUUUCCAGUUGUGUGAAGGCGCAAAGGUUGUGGGAGGCGUAUGAUCUUAUUCAAACAAUGAGAAACUUCAAAUUCCGCCCAGCAUUUUCAGCUUACACAACUCUUAUAGGAGCACUGGCUGCGGUGCAUAAGCCUGAGCAUCCUAAUCUCAUGCUUUCCCUCUUUCAUCAGAUGCAGGAGUUAGGCUAUGAAGUAAGUGUGCAUCUGUUUACCACUUUAAUUCGUGUAUUUGCCCGUGAUGGCCAGGUUGAUGCUGCUCUCUCCUUGUUAGAUGAGAUGAAGAGCAACUCAUUUCAAGCAGACAUUGUUCUCUAUAAUGUGUGUAUCGACUGCUUUGGUAAGGCUGGUAAAGUUGAUAUGGCUUGGAAAUUCUUUCAUGAGAUAAAAGCCCAUGGUCUCAUUCCUGAUGAUGUGUCGUUUACCAGCAUGAUAGGAGUUCUUUGUAAAGCUAAUAGGAUGAAUGAAGCUGUUGACUUGUUCGAGCAGAUGGAGCUGAAUAGGUCUGUUCCGUGUGCAUAUGCUUAUAACACCAUGAUCAUGGGCUACGGUUCUGCUGGAAAGUUUGAUGAAGUGUAUAGUUUGCUUGAGAGGCAAAGACUGAAGGGGUCUAUUCCAAGCGUGAUUGCAUACAAUAGUCUUNGCGAUUUGGGAUUGAUAUUAGGGUAGCUGGGCACCCACAUUGGUCGAUCUAUCCGGCCGCCCGACUCGAGUCUAUUUGACGAAUGAGUCGACCAAUGCAGGGUGGGGGCGACUUGAGCUCAACUCAUAUGGAUGAGUCGGGCUCAUUCGUUAUUUUGUGCACGUGCGUGCAAUGCACGCGCCACUUGAAAAAAAAAACAACUUAAUCGAUAUGAGUAAGUUGGAUGAGCCUUCUCAAUGCUCUGCAUAACCCAACCAACUCAACGAAUGUGGAUGCUCUUACAUAACACAAUUUAUAAGCUAUUUUGUAUUUAAAAUUUAAUUUGUAAAACACUCCAUUCGCAACUCUAGUUUUUGGAAACGACUCAAACGAGGCAAUGUCGACUUUGCACCAUUAAGAGAAAGUUCGAAUUCAAAUAAAUUAGAAUAGCCUUUCGUGCAAUAAAUUUAAUAAAAAAAAUUAAAAUCGUCAUUUAUAAAUAUAAUUCUAAAUAAUAAAAAAUCAAAAUUCAACCAACUAACCUACACAACCGUUAAAAUGAAAAGAAUUACUAUAAUUUCAUAAUUUCUCAUGCUAAUAGACUAGUUACUCACUUUUCCUCUUUCAACAAUUUUUUUAACCUUUUACUUUUACUCUUUCUUUUCCAAUAUAUUUUAAAUAAAACAUACAAUAUACAUAUUAAAAAAUUAUAAAAAUAUAUUUAAUUUAAAACUACAUUGUCGUCUGUCAUCGACUCAUCCAUCGUGUAAUUUUUGUUUUGACAGAAUAAAAAUUUAUACUUUUUGGAGCAUGAAAGCCAAUUUCGAAAGUUUUGACAGAAUAAAAAUUCAUAUUUUUUGGCAUAUGAAAGCCAAUUUCGAAAGUUUUUACUGUCUUUUAACCUAAAGCUUUGUUCACAGACUGCUAAAAUUUCUUUGCAUAAAGAAAAUGGAUGGGAUUCUGAUUUCUGGGAAUAUCUAAUUUUUGAAAACUCUCUCAAGGAUUCUUCUAACUCUUUUCUUCCAUUUGCUGAUGUCAAGCAUUCAAGAAUGAGGGCAAUCUUCAUCAUUAAUCGAGGUAAGUUGCCAUCGAUAUUUUGUAAUUCCUUUCUCCUGUUAAUUAUAUUUGAAGUACCAAUUUUUAUGGGAUUGUGAGCUUGCUCUGAAGUUCGAUUUUUUUUAGGGCUUGGCGUUAAUCGAGUUGUUAAAAUCAUUUAUUUUUAAUUUUUCCCUUUCGUGCUUGUUCAGUAUCAGCAAAUUUUUUUCUUUUCAUGUUUAUGUUCAUUAAUGUUUCGGCUUCCUUCUGUUGCUGCAGUGCUGAAACUGCAGCUUGAGCAGAAACCCUUCUACUUGUGUAACACUUCUAAACGAUUAUCAUCUUUGAAUGAUGGGAGGUUUGGUGUGGAUGUUAAUGAAGGAGCCAACAAUGAGGGGAAGUGGAGAACUCCUCAUAGUAAUGGGGGAGAUGCUCAUAUGAGGAAACACGAACUUUUGAGGAGAGGGAUUGAGAAUGUGUGUCAGAUUUUGGAAAGUGGCCGUGGGGACCUUCAUUGGAGAAAGCUCUCUCUUUGUGUGAUGAUAAACCUGAGGCAGACCUGGUUAUUGGAGUGUUGAGGAGGCUGAAGGAUAUCAAUCUAGCAAUUAAUUACUUUAGAUGGGUGAGAGGGCAACAAACCAAGUGAAUCUGCCAGAAACAUACCAUUCGCUUCUGAUAUUGAUGGCAAGGUGUAGGAAAUUUGAUAGAAUUGGGCAUGUUUUGGAGGAAAUGAGUCUUGCUGGAUUUGGACUUUCUUUGAGACAAGCAUGGAUUAGUUUCCAGUUGUGUGAAGGCCAAAGGUUGUGGGAGGCUAUGAUCUUAUUCAAACAAUGAGAAACUUCAAAUUCCGCCCAGCAUUUUCAGCUUACACAACUCUUAUAGGAGCACUGGCUGCGUGCAUAAGCCUGAGCAUCCUAAUCUCAUGCUUUCCCUCUUUCAUCAGAUGCAGGAGUUAGGCUAUGAAGUAAGUGUGCAUCUGUUUACCACUUUAAUUCGUGUAUUCGCCCGUGAUGGCCAGGUUGAUGCUGCUCUCUCCUUGUUAGAUGAGAUGAAGAGCAACUCAUUUCAAGCAGACAUUGUUCUCUAUAAUGUGUGUAUCGACUGCUUUGGUAAGGCUGGUAAAGUUGAUAUGGCUUGGAAAUUCUUUCAUGAGAUAAAAGCCCAUGGUCUCAUUCCUGAUGAUGUGUCGUUUACCAGCAUGAUAGGAGUUCUUUGUAAAGCUAAUAGGAUGAAUGAAGCUGUUGACUUGUUCGAGCAGAUGGAGCUGAAUAGGUCUGUUCCGUGUGCAUAUGCUUAUAACACCAUGAUCAUGGGCUACGGUUCUGCUGGAAAGUUUGAUGAAGUGUAUAGUUUGCUUGAGAGGCAAAGACUGAAGGGGUCUAUUCCAAGUGUGAUUGCAUACAAUAGUCUUCUCACAUGCCUUGGGAGGCGAGGAAAAGUAGAUGAGGCCUUAAAGGUUUAUAGUGAUAUGAGAACAGAUGCUAUGCCGAACCUGUCUACAUAUAAUAUUCUCGUUGAUAUGCUUUGUAGGGCAGGAAAACUUGAUGCAGCUUUAGUAAUACAAAAUGACAUGAAGGCAUCUGGCUUGACUCCUGAUAUAAUGACCGUCAACAUAAUGAUAGACAGAUUGUGCAAGGCUAAUAAACUUGAUGCGCUUGUUCUGUCUUUCAUAGCAUGGAUCGCAAAGUUUGUACCCCGAACAAAUAUACAUUUUGUUCACUGAUAGAUGGCUUGGGUAGGCAUGGCAGAGUAGAUGAUGCAUACAAAUUAUAUGAGGAGAUGCUAGAUUCUAACGAGGUACCAGAUGCUAUUAUAUAUACAUCCCUAAUCAAGAACUUCUUCAAGUCUGGCAGAAAGGAGGAUGGUCAUAAGAUUUACAAGGAAAUGGUCCGGAAAGGCACCUCACCAGACCUCACACUCCUUAACACGUAUAUGGAUUGUGUUUUCAAAGCUGGUGAAACAGAAAAGGGCAGAGCCUUGUUUGAGGAGAUCAAAGUUCGGUUUACCCCUGAUGCACGAAGCUAUUCAAUUCUAAUAAAUGGUCUCAUAAAGGCUGGUUUUGCACGUGAGACUUACGAGAUCUUCUAUGCAAUGAAGGAACAGGGUUGUGCUCUUGACACCCUUGCUUAUAACACUGUUAUUGAUGGAUUCUGUAAGUCAGGUAAAGUUAACAAAGCUUACCAGCUAUUGGAAGAAAUGAAGACAAAAGGUCAUCAACCGACUGUGGUGACAUAUGGUUCUGUUAUUGAUGGGCUUGCUAAGAUUGACCGGCUUGACGAAUCUUAUAUGCUUUUCGAAGAAGCAAAAUCAGUUGGAGUGGAACUAAAUGUAGUUGUCUAUAGUAGUCUUGUAGACGGGUUUGGAAAGGUGGGGAGAAUUGAUGAAGCAUAUCUCAUCAUAGAGGAAAUGAUGCAAAAUAAUUUAACACCUAACAUCCAAACAUGGAAUUGCUUGCUUGAUGCUCUUGUUAAGGCAGAAGAGAUCGGUGAAGCCCUUGUCUGCUGGAAUUCUAUAAAGGACUUGAAAUGCACACCUAAUAUCGUAACGUACAGCAUUCUUAUAAAUGGUCUGUGUAAGGUUCGGAAGUUCAACAAAGCCUUUGUGUUUUGGCAGGAGAUGCAGAAACAAGGGUUGAAACCUAAUGCAAUCACCUAUCUCACUAUGAUAUCUGGGCUUUCCAAGGCUGGAAAUAUAUUGGAGGCCACUAAACUAUAUGAGAGAUUCAAAGAAAAUGGAGGUAUACCUGAUUCUGCCUGCUAUAAUACAAUGAUAGAAGGCUUGAGCUUAACGAAUAAGGCAACGGAAGCAUAUCAACUAUUUGAGGAAACAAGGUUAAAGGGCUGUAAAAUACACACUAAAACCUGUGUGGUUCUUUUGGAUGCGCUGCAUAAAGCCGAAUGUCUUGAGCAAGCAGCUAUAGUGGGUGCUGUAUUAAGGGAAACAGCUAAAUCACAACAUGCUUCUAGGUCGUUGUGAUGUUGGAUUUUCCGGUGGCGGAGGUUGUAUAUCUUUUGGUGUGUAUUUGGCUCUUCUAUUUACCAUCAUAGAAAGAAUGAAAGGAAAUUUACACAUGUUACUUUUGACUAACACUUGUUUAAUGAGUUGGUCAAUAUUGAGUAAGUAAUUGAGUCAAUUUUAAAUAAAUGUCAUGAGCACAACGCGUAUGAGCCAAUUAACUUGGAUUGCAUUACAAAUGUGUCUUGAAUAUUCAACCAUAUGAGAGAAGAGCUGUAACAUGGCAACAAGACCUUAUCUUUCUGUUUGAUUGUUUGUUGAUCAAUCUCUAUUCCCAUUUCUCAGUUCUGCUUCAGGUUAGGGUAAUUUUGAAUGGUCUAUUUUGUCCGUUUUGU
rnacentral:lncRNA from 1 species